rnacentral:lncRNA from 1 species
UAACUUAAAUAUUAGUUGAAUAUUAAGAAAUUAGUGUGAUAAUAUUUUCUUAUUCAUUUUUUUUACAUGCAAAAAUAAUUCAAGACAGACAGAAAAGAAAAUUAAAUAAUCAUGUGGAAAUGUUAUUUAUUCAAUUAGUUCGAAUAAUUUCAAGUAACAUGGAUGAAAUAACUACAUUAAGGGCACAAACCUUAAGUUGGUGUUAUGUGUCUAAGGGCAAAAAGAUGCAUUAAUGUAAUGACUCGAUUUUAAACGAUGUAAGAAAAUAUAGUUUCG